AUACGGAGGGUGCUAGCGUUACUCGGAAUCACUGGGCGUAAAGGACGCGUAGGCGGGAUAGUAAGUCUGAUGUGAAAUCCUAUGGCUCAACCAUAGAACUGCAUUGGAAACUACUGACCUAGAGUAUGGGAGGGGGAGAUGGAAUUAGUAGUGUAGGGGUAAAAUCCGUAGAUAUUACUAGGAAUACCGAAAGCGAAGGCGAUCUCCUGGAACAAUACUGACGCUAAGGCGUGAAAGCGUGGGGAGCAAACAGGAUUAGAAACCCUAGUAGUCC
rnacentral:rRNA from 1 species